rnacentral:rRNA from 1 species
AAAGAAAAUAACAAUGAUUCCCUCAGUAACGGCGAGCGGAGAGGGAUAAGCUCAAAUUUUAAAUCUGUUGGGUUCCACUUAACAGAGUUGUAUUUUGAAGAAACGUUUUCUGCGUCCAGGAUUAGCCUAAAUCCUUUGGGGUAAGGUAUCAUGGAGGGUGAGAAUCCCGUUCAUGGUUAAUCUUAAGGAAGCUCUACGAUACGUUUUCCAAGAGUCGAGUUGUUUGGGAUUGCAGCUCAAAAUGGGAGGUAAAUUUCUCCUAAGGCUAAAUAUUGGCGAGAGACCGAUAGCGAACAAGUACCGUGAGGGAAAGAUGAAAAGAACUUUGAAAAGAGAGUUAAACAGUACGUGAAAUUGUUGAAAGGGAAACGAUUGAAG